GUUCCUGUAGCGCAAUGGAUAGCGCGUUGGACUUCUAAUCCAAAGGCCGAGGGUUCAAAUCCCCCUUGGGAUG